rnacentral:rRNA from 1 species
CCUUCGGGUUGUAAACUGCUUUUGUACGGAACGAAAAGUCUCUUUCUAAUAAAGAGGGAUCAUGACGGUACCGUGAGAAUAAGCACCGGCUAACUACGUGC